GUCGGCAGCCAUAUCACCCUGUAGCCCAAGACUGGUUGCCCACUGAAGCUAAGCAGCGUUGAGCCUGGUUUGUACCUGGAUGGGAGACCUCCUGGGAAAUCUAGGUUGCUGCUGGAA
ensembl:rRNA 5S_rRNA 5S ribosomal RNA